CAGUCCUCGCUAUUGUGUACCGUAGGGUGGUACACGACCAAGAGCUGGGCAAGACCGGUGCCAGCCGCCGCGGUAAUACCGGCAGCUCGAGUGAUGGCCGAUUUUAUUGGGCCUAAAGCGUCCGUAGCUGGCCCUGCAAGUCCGUCGGGAAAUCCACUCGCCUAACGAGUGGGCGUCCGGCGGAAACUACAGGGCUUGGGACCGGAAGACUUGAGGGGUACGUCUGGGGUAGGAGUGAAAUCCUGUAAUCCUGGACGGGCCGCCGAUGGCGAAAGCACCUCAAGACGACGGAUCCGACAGUGAGGGACGAAAGCUAGGGUCUCGAACCGGAUUAGAUACCCGGGUAGUCCUAGCCGUAAACGAUGUUCGCUAGAUGUGGCACAGGCUACGUGCCUGUGCUGUGUCGUAGGGAAGCCGAGAAGCGAACCGC
rnacentral:rRNA from 1 species